UUUAUGGAGAGUUUGAUCCUGGCUCAGGAUGAACGCUGGCGGCGUGCCUAAUACAUGCAAGUCGAGCGAACAGACAAGGAGCUUGCUCCUUUGACGUUAGCGGCGGACGGGUGAGUAACACGUGGGUAACCUAUCUAUAAGACUGGGAUAACUUCGGGAAACCGGAGCUAAUACCGG
rnacentral:rRNA from 1 species